rnacentral:rRNA from 1 species
GUAUAUGGCCACGCCACCCUGAACACACCCAGUCUCUUCUGAUCUUGGUAACUAAGCAGGGUCUGGCCUGGUUAGUUCUUAGACAGGAUAGAGCCUGGGAAUUUCUGGUGUUGCAAACU